GGCGGCAGGCCUAACACAUGCAAGGCGAGCGGUAGCACAGAGAGCUUGCUCUCGGGUGACGAGCGGCGGACGGGUGAGUAAUGUCUGGGAAACUGCCUGAUGGAGGGGGAUAACUACUGGAAACGGUAGCUAAUACCGCAUAACGUCGCAAGACCAAAGUGGGGGACCUUCGGGCCUCAUGCCAUCAGAUGUGCCCAGAUGGGAUUAGCUAGUAGGUGGGGUAACGGCUCACCUAGGCGACGAUCCCUAGCUGGUCUGAGAGGAUGACCAGCCACACUGGAACUGAGACACGGUCCAGACUCCUACGGGAGGCAGCAGUGGGGAAUAUUGCACAAUGGGCGCAAGCCUGAUGCAGCCAUGCCGCGUGUGUGAAGAAGGCCUUCGGGUUGUAAAGCACUUUCAGCGGGGAGGAAGGCGUUAAGGUUAAUAACCUUGGCGAUUGACGUUACCCGCAGAAGAAGCACCGGCUAACUCCGUGCCAGCAGCCGCGGUAAUACGGAGGGUGCAAGCGUUAAUCGGAAUUACUGGGCGUAAAGCGCACGCAGGCGGUCUGUCAAGUCGGAUGUGAAAUCCCCGGGCUCAACCUGGGAACUGCAUUCGAAACUGGCAGGCUAGAGUCUUGUAGAGGGGGGUAGAAUUCCAGGUGUAGCGGUGAAAUGCGUAGAGAUCUGGAGGAAUACCGGUGGCGAAGGCGGCCCCCUGGACAAAGACUGACGCUCAGGUGCGAAAGCGUGGGGAGCAAACAGGAUUAGAUACCCUGGUAGUCCACGCCGUAAACGAUGUCGAUUUGGAGGUUGUGCCCUUGAGGCGUGGCUUCCGGAGCUAACGCGUUAAAUCGACCGCCUGGGGAGUACGGCCGCAAGGUUAAAACUCAAAUGAAUUGACGGGGGCCCGCACAAGCGGUGGAGCAUGUGGUUUAAUUCGAUGCAACGCGAAGAACCUUACCUGGUCUUGACAUCCACAGAACUUUCCAGAGAUGGAUUGGUGCCUUCGGGAACUGUGAGACAGGUGCUGCAUGGCUGUCGUCAGCUCGUGUUGUGAAAUGUUGGGUUAAGUCCCGCAACGAGCGCAACCCUUAUCCUUUGUUGCCAGCGGUUCGGCCGGGAACUCAAAGGAGACUGCCAGUGAUAAACUGGAGGAAGGUGGGGAUGACGUCAAGUCAUCAUGGCCCUUACGACCAGGGCUACACACGUGCUACAAUGGCAUAUACAAAGAGAAGCGACCUCGCGAGAGCAAGCGGACCUCAUAAAGUAUGUCGUAGUCCGGAUUGGAGUCUGCAACUCGACUCCAUGAAGUCGGAAUCGCUAGUAAUCGUAGAUCAGAAUGCUACGGUGAAUACGUUCCCGGGCCUUGUACACACCGCCCGUCACACCAUGGGAGUGGGUUGCAAAAGAAGUAGGUAGCUUAACCUUCGGGAGGGCGCUUACCACUUUGUGAUUCAUGACUGGGGUGAAAUCAU
rnacentral:rRNA from 1 species